UACAGAGGUCUCAAGCGUUGUUCGGAUUCAUUGGGCGUAAAGGGUGCGUAGGCGGCGCGGUAAGUCGGGUGUGAAAUCUCGGAGCUUAACUCCGAAACUGCAUUCGAUACUGCCGUGCUUGAGGACUGGAGAGGAGACUGGAGUUUACGGUGUAGCGGUGAAAUGCGUAGAUAUCGUAAGGAAGACCAGUGGCGAAGGCGGGUCUCUGGACAGUUCCUGACGCUGAGGCACGAAGGUCAGGGGAGCAAACGGG
rnacentral:rRNA from 1 species